GAAGUUCUGUUAUACACUCCGGCU
rnacentral:ncRNA from 2 species